GGCGGCAGGCCUGACACAUGCAAGUCGAGCGGUAACAUUUCUAGCUUGCUAGAAGAUGACGAGCGGCGGACGGGUGAGUAACGCGUAGAAAUCUACCUAGUAGUGGGGGAUAGCCCAGAGAAAUUUGGAUUAAUACCGCAUACGCCCUACGGGGGAAAGCGGGGGAUCUUCGGACCUCGUGCUAUUAGAUGAGUCUGCGUCGGAUUAGCUUGUUGGUGAGGUAAUGGCUCACCAAGGCGACGAUCCGUAGCUGGUCUGAGAGGAUGACCAGCCACACUGGAACUGAGACACGGUCCAGACUCCUACGGGAGGCAGCAGUGGGGAAUAUUGCACAAUGGGCGCAAGCCUGAUGCAGCCAUGCCGCGUGUGUGAAGAAGGCCUUAGGGUUGUAAAGCACUUUCAGCAGUGAGGAAAGGGGUGUCGUUAAUAGCGCCAUCCUGUGACGUUAACUGCAGAAGAAGGACCGGCUAACUCCGUG
rnacentral:rRNA from 1 species